UCACACCUCCCCUCAUCUUAUUCCCUCCUAUUCUUAAGAUGUUUUAAGGGCAAAGCAAGGAUUAGACUCAAUAAAACCACAUUAAAAUAAACAAAAAUAAAGUUAUCACCUCGUAUGUCAUAUUCCUAAUGGCUGGGGCCCAUUCCUCAGUAAUCCUUCUCUUUAACAUAUCCGAAUCAGCUGUNUGCCCAUUCCUCAGUAAUCCUUCUCUUUAACAUAUCCGAAUCAGCUGUUGGUGGUAAUCGUACAUCGAACCCUGCUUCUGCCUC
rnacentral:lncRNA from 1 species